GGAGUGAACGCUGGCGGCAGGCCUAACACAUGCAAGUCGAACGGCAGCACAGUAAGAGCUUGCUCUUAUGGGUGGCGAGUGGCGGACGGGUGAGGAAUACAUCGGAAUCUGCCUAUUUGUGGGGGAUAACGUAGGGAAACUUACGCUAAUACCGCAUACGACCUACGGGUGAAAGCGGAGGACCUUCGGGCUUCGCGCAGAUAGAUGAGCCGAUGUCGGAUUAGCUAGUUGGUGGGUAAAGGCCCACCAAGGCGACGAUCCGUAGCUGGUCUGAGAGGAUGAUCAGCCACACUGGAACUGAGACACGGUCCAGACUCCUACGGGAGGCAGCAGUGGGGAAUAUUGGACAAUGGGCGCAAGCCUGAUCCAGCCAUGCCGCGUGAGUGAAGAAGGCCCUUGGUGUAAAGCUCUUUGUUGGGAAGAAAGCAAUCGGUUAAUACCCGGUUGUUCUGACGUACCAAAGAAUAAGCACGCUAACUCGUGCCAGCAGACCG
rnacentral:rRNA from 1 species